CAAAAUGUAGCUUAAUAAAGCAUCUUGCUUACACCAAGAAUAUGUCUGUGCAACCCUAACCAUUUUGA
rnacentral:tRNA from 1 species